UACGUAGGGGGCAAGCGUUGUCCGGAAUCAUUGGGCGUAAAGCGCGUGUAGGCGGUUCGGUAAGUCCGCUGUGAAAGUCGGAGGCUCAACCCUCGGAUGCCGGUGGAUACUGUCGAGCUUGAGUACGGAAGAGGCGAGUGGAAUUCCUGGUGUAGCGGUGAAAUGCGCAGAUAUCAGGAGGAACACCAAUUGCGAAGGCAGCUCGCUGGGACGUUACUGACGCUGAGACGCGAAAGCGUGGGGAGCAAACAGG
rnacentral:rRNA from 1 species